CACGAACGCUGGCGGCAUGACUAACACAUGCAAGUAGAACGAAGGCUUCGGCCUUAGUGGCGCACGGGUGAGUAACGCGUGGGAAACUGCCUAUUGGUGGGGAAUAACGAAGGGAAACUGUCGAUAAUACCGCAUAAGCCCUUCGGGGGAAAGAUUUAUCGCCGAUAGAUGUGCCCGCGGCCGAUUAGCUAGUUGGUGAGGUAAUGGUUCACACAGGCGACGAUCGGUAGCUGGUCUGAGAGGAUGAUCAGCCACACUGGGACUGAGAUACGGCCCAGACCCCUACGGGAGGCAGCAGUGGGGAAUAUUGGACAAUGGGCGAAAGCCUGAUCAAGCAAUGCCGCGUUGGUGAUGAAGGCCUUAGGGUUGUAAAGCUCUUUCGGGUGUGACGAUGAUGACGGUACCACCAGAAGAAGCCCCGGCUAACUUCGUGCCAGCCGCCGCAGUAA
rnacentral:rRNA from 1 species